GGGAAGUGGUCUAGGGGUAUGAUACUCGCUUCGGGUGAGGGUGGUCCCGGGUUCGAAUCCCGGCUGGGUCCCC